rnacentral:rRNA from 1 species
CACCUACGGGGGGCAGCAGUGAGGAAUAUUGGUCAAUGGUCGGGAGACUGAACCAGCCAAGCCGCGUGAGGGAGGAAGGUACAGAGUAUCGUAAACCUCUUUUGUCAGGGAACAAAGGCGGGGACGUGUCCCCGGAUGAGUGUACCUGAAGAAAAAGCAUCGGCUAACUCCGUGCCAGCAGCCGCGGUAAUACGGAGGAUGCGAGCGUUAUCCGGAUUUAUUGGGUUUAAAGGGUGCGCAGGCGGGCUGUUAAGUCAGCGGUCAAAGCCCGGGGCUCAACCCCGGGCCGCCGUUGAAACUGGCAG